CCUACGUGCGGCAGCAGUGGGGAAUAUUGGACAAUGGGCGAAAGCCUGAUCCGGCCAUGCCGCGUGUGUGAAGAAGGCCUUCGGGUUGUAAAGCACUUUCAGUGGGGAAGAAAGCCUUGGGGCUAAUACCCUCGAGGAAGGACAUCACCCACAGAAGAGGCACCGGCUAACUCCGUGCCAGCAGCCGCGGUAAUACGGAGGGUGCGAGCGUUAAUCGGAAUUACUGGGCGUAAAGCGCGCGUAGGCGGUCUGAUAAGCCGGUUGUGAAAGCCCCGGGCUCAACCUGGGAACGGCAUCCGGAACUGUCAGGCUAGAGUGCAGGAGAGGAAGGUAGAAUUCCCGGUGUAGCGGUGAAAUGCGUAGAGAUCGGGAGGAAUACCAGUGGCGAAGGCGGCCUUCUGGACUGACACUGACGCUGAGGUGCGAAAGCGUGGGUAGCAAACAGGAUUAGAUACCCUAGUAGUC
rnacentral:rRNA from 1 species